rnacentral:tRNA from 1 species
UCUCUGGUGGCUCAAUGGUAAAGAAUCUGCCUGCAGUGCAGGAGACCUGGGUUCAAUCCCUGGAUUGGGAA